rnacentral:rRNA from 1 species
GUGGGAUGACGUCAAGUCCUCAUGGCCUUUAUGUCUAGGGCUACACACGUGCUACAAUGGGUGGUACAAAGAGCAGCUAACUCGCGAGAGUAUGCAAAUCUCAAAAAGCCAUCCUCAGUUCGGAUUGGAGUCUGCAACUCGACUCCAUGAAGUUGGAAUCGCUAGUAAUCGCGGAUCAGCAUGCCGCGGUGAAUACGUUCCCGGGCCCUU